GUAACAGAGAUAUAACUGGAUUGUCUACAACCAACCGGGUGGUUUGGUUUUGAGCACUGCUCUCAUUUGAUACUUGAACUGUAGCAGUGUGAGACUGAUUAUCCUAUCUCUAUUAUCUACACAUCUCAUAUAGUUAUGAAGGUUGCAUCCUUUAACAUCAGGAGAUUUGGACUGAAUAAAAUUCUGAUCCAGAUGCCCAACACCUGUUAAGCUGAUUUCCUCAUGACUACAGAAGAAAACAAGAUAUAUACACAUGAUAGCUGCUUGAAAGGCUAUUGUGUCUCGUUAUGACGUUAUAGUGGUUCUGGAGGUGGUGGAUGUGAGGGGGAUAUCUGCUAUCUGCUUCCCGAGAGAGUUAAACUGGUGACAUUGCUGUUUAUCAGGUUUAUAUUCAACCUCACCUUUCCUAUUGAGUUGAAUAUAUGAUGGCACAGAACACUUUAAGAACACCUCACUUUCUCUGUUACUCAAUAACUUUGAGUUACUUUAAUCCCCUCAGCCUCCAUGUAUACUGUACCACAGAGUCAACACAACAGAUCACUACGCCUGGAAACUCAGCAUCCGCUUGGGAACGACUAGAUAUAAGGAAUAGUUCCUGUUACUUUACAGGUAAUGAUUAUACACUGCUCAAAAAAAUAAAGGGAACACUAAAAUAACACAUCCUAGAUCUGAAUGAAAGAAAUAAUCUUAUUAAAUAAAUUUUUCUUUACAUAGUUGAAUGUGCUGACAACAAAAUCACACAAAAAUAAUCAAUGGAAAUCCAAUUUAUCAACCCACGGAGGU